CGAACGGGUGAGUAACACGUGGGUGAUCUGCCCUGCACUUCGGGAUAAGCCUGGGAAACUGGGUCUAAUACCGGAUAUGACCUCUGGGUGCAUGCCUGGGGGUGGAAAGGUUUACUGGUGCAGGAUGGGCCCGCGGCCUAUCAGCUUGUUGGUGGGGUAAUGGCCUACCAAGGCGACGACGGGUAGCCGGCCUGAGAGGGCGACCGGCCACACUGGGACUGAGACACGGCCCAGACUCCUACGGGAGGCAGCAGUGGGGAAUAUUGCACAAUGGGCGAAAGCCUGAUGCAGCGACGCCGCGUGAGGGAUGACGGCCUUCGGGUUGUAAACCUCUUUCAGCAGGGACGAAGCGAGAGUGACGGUACCUGCAGAAGAAGCACCGGCCAACUACGUGCCAGCAGCCGCGGUAAUACGUAGGGUGCGAGCGUUGUCCGGAAUUACUGGGCGUAAAGAGCUCGUAGGCGGUUUGUCGCGUCGUCUGUGAAAACCAGCAGCUCAACUGCUGGCUUGCAGGCGAUACGGGCAGACUUGAGUACUGCAGGGGAGACUGGAAUUCCUGGUGUAGCGGUGAAAUGCGCAGAUAUCAGGAGGAACACCGGUGGCGAAGGCGGGUCUCUGGGCAGUAACUGACGCUGAGGAGCGAAAGCGUGGGUAG
rnacentral:rRNA from 1 species